AAAUAACUCCCCACUCUCCCCUCUUUGUCCGUAUUUCAGGGUUAUCAAUCCUGCAGUUUAAGUAGGUUAUAAAUGGUUUCUUGCUGACAACCUCAAGAACGCAUAUCAGACUUCCCAGUAUCAUCAUCGCACUCCCUCAUUUGGCAUCCCAAAACUUGCAUCACAGAUAUCCUAUUUUCUUGAUUCUUGCUCCGAAUAAAACUGGGUUUCUUUUCGUUCUUCGGCAUCAUGGAUUCUUCUUCGGGAUCAGAAUUUGAUUAUUUGUUCAAGUUAUUGAUGAUUCGGGAUUCAUGCUUUGGUUGUUUAAUUUCGACGGCAGUAACCUGCGUAUAAUCUGCUGAUAUCUAGGUUUUGUUCAUACAUCGCUUACAAGAGGCAUGUUGUUUCUCACUUUCUCUUGAUGGACCAGUGGUGACUGCAUUAGGCUUUGGGGAUGAGCUUGGAGUUGUCACACACUCUUCUCCAUCCCUCCCUUUGAAUGAGCAAAUGCUAACGUUUGAUAUUCUUAACCUCCCUCAAAAGGCUAUUAUUGAAUGAACUACCUUCCAUGAUGAUAGACUAAUGUGUGAAGCUAGAACGAAGUAUAAAUACAAUAAACAAGUUUUUGACCAGAAAGCAAGUUCGAUGAUCGAAAAUAUGUUGGAUCUGGUGCUUGUCCAAAUCAUGGUGGGAUUCAAUUUGUCACAUAUGUAAUCAUGGUAUGUAUGUAUGUAUGUGUUGCUUGAAAAGCAGGUGAUGGACUAAUGAUCUCAAGGAUCGAGCGAGUCAAUGACAAUGAGGGUUGCCCUGUUUUGUUGGUUCGAACUGACCAACCUAAUUGAGGUGUUAUGUGUACAAAUCAUACUUUUUGUGUCACCAUUGUUGAUAUUACAACCUAAAGACAUUCGUUUUGUGACCACUUUCUUGGUUUCAUUUAGAAAAUUCGGGGGUGGAGCUAUAGUCGGUGUAGUUUUUAAAUAGCUUUAUUUAUUUUCUGUCUGUUGCAAAAUACACCACAUCAAACCAUAGUUACUGCUUGGCUCAAGUGGGUUCCACAGGAACCCGUGAAAACACCAGUGGAGUGAAACUUAAAUAAAAAUGGCAGAUGCAAUAGCAAUAGAUACAGGUUGCUUGGCGACUGCACCAGGCAAACUUUUUUCAUCCAUAGCAGGUACUUU
rnacentral:lncRNA from 1 species